rnacentral:rRNA from 1 species
GCCAUGCUAGUUGCACGAGUUCAUACUCGUGGCGAAAAGCUCAGUAACACGAGGCCAAACUACCCUACAGAGAACGAUAACCUCGGGAAACUGAGGCUAAUAGUUCAUACGGGAGUCAUGCUGGAAUGCCGACUCCCCGAAACGCUCAGGCGCUGUAGGAUGUGGCUGCGGCCGAUUAGGUAGACGGUGGGGUAACGGCCCACCGUGCCGAUAAUCGGUACGGGUUGUGAGAGCAAGAGCCCGGAGACGGAAUCUGAGACAAGAUUCCGGGCCCUACGGGGCGCAGCAGGCGCGAAACCUUUACACUGCACGCAAGUGCGAUAAGGGGACCCCAAGUGCGAGGGCAUAUAGUCCUCGCUUUUCACGACUGUAAGGCGGUCGUGGAAUAAGAGCUGGGCAAGACCGGUGCCAGCCGCCGCGGUAAUACCGGCAGCUCAAGUGAUGACCGAUAUUAUUGGGCCUAAAGCGUCCGUAGCCGGCCACGAAGGUUCAUCGGGAAAUCCGCCAGCUCAACUGGCGGGCGUCCGGUGAAAACCACGUGGCUUGGGACCGGAAGGCUCGAGGGGUACGUCCGGGGUAGGAGUGAAAUCCCGUAAUCCUGGACGGACCACCGAUGGCGAAAGCACCUCGAGAAGACGGAUCCGACGGUGAGGGACGAAAGCUAGGGUCUCGAACCGGAUUAGAUACCCGGGUAGUCCUAGCUGUAAACGAUGCUCGCUAGGUGUGGCACAGGCUACGAGCCUGUGCUGUGCCGUAGGGAAGCCGAGAAGCGAGCCGCCUGGGAAGUACGUCCGCAAGGAUGAAACUUAAAGGAAUUG